rnacentral:lncRNA from 1 species
AUAGUGAUAGGCCAUUGAGACAUUGACUAUAUUCCAUAAUUUACACAUGAUGACUUUGGACUUAAGACGGACUUUUCGCUUGCUUGCCAUUGUGCUCAUUCGCACAUGCUUGUGAGGGUCGCUCCCCACAAGCCAGCACUCCGGAGAUUGCCAUCGCGACACAUGCUCGCCCGUGCGGGAUUGGGCGCCGAAAUGGGAUGCCGUGGGGGAGGCUCAUUCCUAGAGUGGGGAUGUUGACUACCACGAG